rnacentral:rRNA from 1 species
GCAGUCGAACGAACUCUGGUAUUGAUUGGUGCUUGCAUCAUGAUUUACAUUUGAGUGAGUGGCGAACUGGUGAGUAACACGUGGGAAACCUGCCCAGAAGCGGGGGAUAACACCUGGAAACAGAUGCUAAUACCGCAUAACAACUUGGACCGCAUGGUCCGAGUUUGAAAGAUGGCUUCGGCUAUCACUUUUGGAUGGUCCCGCGGCGUAUUAGCUAGAUGGUGGGGUAACGGCUCACCAUGGCAAUGAUACGUAGCCGACCUGAGAGGGUAAUCGGCCACAUUGGGACUGAGACACGGCCCAAACUCCUACGGGAGGCAGCAGUAGGGAAUCUUCCACAAUGGACGAAAGUCUGAUGGAGCAACGCCGCGUGAGUGAAGAAGGGUUUCGGCUCGUAAAACUCUGUUGUUAAAGAAGAACAUAUCUGAGAGUAACUGUUCAGGUAUUGACGGUAUUUAACCAGAAAGCCACGGCUAACUACGUGCCAGCAGCCGCGGUAAUACGUAGGUGGCAAGCGUUGUCCGGAUUUAUUGGGCGUAAAGCGAGCGCAGGCGGUUUUUUAAGUCUGAUGUGAAAGCCUUCGGCUCAACCGAAGAAGUGCAUCGGAAACUGGGAAACUUGAGUGCAGAAGAGGACAGUGGAACUCCAUGUGUAGCGGUGAAAUGCGUAGAUAUAUGGAAGAACACCAGUGGCGAAGGCGGCUGUCUGGUCUGUAACUGACGCUGAGGCUCGAAAGUAUGGGUAGCAAACAGGAUUAGAUACCCUGGUAGUCCAUACCGUAAACGAUGAAUGCUAAGUGUUGGAGGGUUUCCGCCCUUCAGUGCUGCAGCUAACGCAUUAAGCAUUCCGCCUGGGGAGUACGGCCGCAAGGCUGAAACUCAAAGGAAUUGACGGGGGCCCGCACAAGCGGUGGAGCAUGUGGUUUAAUUCGAAGCUACGCGAAGAACCUUACCAGGUCUUGACAUACUAUGCAAAUCUAAGAGAUUAGACGUUCCCUUCGGGGACAUGGAUACAGGUGGUGCAUGGUUGUCGUCAGCUCGUGUCGUGAGAUGUUGGGUUAAGUCCCGCAACGAGCGCAACCCUUAUUAUCAGUUGCCAGCAUUAAGUUGGGCACUCUGGUGAGACUGCCGGUGACAAACCGGAGGAAGGUGGGGAUGACGUCAAAUCAUCAUGCCCCUUAUGACCUGGGCUACACACGUGCUACAAUGGAUGGUACAACGAGUUGCGAACUCGCGAGAGUAAGCUAAUCUCUUAAAGCCAUUCUCAGUUCGGAUUGUAGGCUGCAACUCGCCUACAUGAAGUCGGAAUCGCUAGUAAUCGCGGAUCAGCAUGCCGCGGUGAAUACGUUCCCGGGCCUUGUACACACCGCCCGUCACACCAUGAGAGUUUGUAACACCCAAAGUCGGUGGGGUAACCUUUUAGGAACCAGCCGCCUAAGGU